GCAGGCCAACGCUUGAAUACAUUAGCAUGGAAUAAUGAAAUAGGACAUCCGAUUCUAUUUUGUUGGCUUCUAGGAUCGAUGUAAUGAUUAAUAGGGAUAGUUGGGGGCAUUAGUAUUCAAUUGUCAGAGGUGAAAUUCUUGGAUUUAUUGAAGACUAACUACUGCGAAAGCAUUUGCCAAGGAUGUUUUCAUUAAUCAAGAACGAAAGUUAGGGGAUCGAAGACGAUCAGAUACCGUCGUAGUCUUAACCAUAAACUAUGCCGACUAGGGAUCGGAUGAUGCUUAUUUUUUAAUGACUCAUUCGGCACCUUACGGGAAACCAAAGUGUUUGGGUUCCGGGGGGAGUAUGGUCGCAAGGCUGAAACUUAAAGGAAUUGACGGAAGGGCACCACCAGGGGUGGAGCCUGCG
rnacentral:rRNA from 1 species